CGGAGAGGGCGCAUGAGAACCUUCUACCACAUCCAAGGAAGGCAGCAGGCGCGCAAAUUACCCAAUCCCGACACGGGGAGGUAGUGACAAUAAAUACUGAUACAGGGCUCUUUUGGGUCUUGUAAUUGGAAUGAGUACAAUUUAAAUCCCUUAACGAGGAACAAUUGGAGGGCAAGUCUGGUGCCAGCAGCCGCGGUAAUUCCAGCUCCAAUAGCGUAUAUUAAAGUUGUUGCAGUUAAAAAGCUCGUAGUUGAACCUUGGGCCUGGCUGGCCGGUCCGCCUCACCGCGUGCACUGGUCCGGCCGGGCCUUUCCUUCUGGGGAGCCGCAUGCCCUUCACUGGGUGUGUCGGGGAACCAGGACUUUUACUUUGAAAAAAUUAGAGUGUUCAAAGCAGGCCUAUGCUCGAAUACAUUAGCAUGGAAUAAUAGAAUAGGACGUGUGGUUCUAUUUUGUUGGUUUCUAGGACCGCCGUAAUGAUUAAUAGGGAUAGUCGGGGGCAUCAGUAUUCAAUUGUCAAAGGUGAAAUUCUUGGAUUUAUUGAAGAAUAACUACUGCGAAAGCAUUUGCCAGGGAUG
rnacentral:rRNA from 1 species